UACGUAGGGUGCAAGCGUUGUCCGGAAUCAUUGGGCGUAAAGAGCUCGUAGGCGGUCUGUCGCGUCUGCUGUGAAAACCUAGGGCUUAACCCUGGGCCUGCAGUGGGUACGGGCAGACUAGAGUGCGGUAGGGGAGACUGGAAUUCCUGGUGUAGCGGUGAAAUGCGCAGAUAUCAGGAGGAACACCGGUGGCGAAGGCGGGUCUCUGGACCACAACUGACGCUGAGGCGCGAAAGCUAGGGGAGCAAACAGG
rnacentral:rRNA from 1 species